rnacentral:rRNA from 1 species
UACGUAGGGGGCAAGCGUUGUCCGGAUUUAUUGGGCGUAAAGAGCGUGUAGGCGGCUAGACAGGUCUGCUGUGAAAACUCGAGGCUCAACCUCGAGAUGUCGGCGGAAACCGUCUGGCUAGAGUCCGGAAGAGGAGAGUGGAAUUCCUGGUGUAGCGGUGAAAUGCGCAGAUAUCAGGAAGAACACCCGUGGCGAAAGCGGCUCUCUGGGACGGUACUGACGCUGAGACGCGAAAGCGUGGGGAGCGAACAGG